CUAAUCCUCACUUAAUCUGACGUGUGCUGACUGAUCAGGUUUUCUUUGCAAAUUUUUGCACGGCGCUGGUUGCGUGUGAAUUGUCACACCCGACGCGGUCACGGAGUGCAGGAUUAGAGGAGUUGCAUGAAGUCCAGAAGAGCGCUCGCUUGUCUUGCCAGAACACCGGCUCCAAUCUGAGACCUUGGGGAAAUCGCCCUUCACCCACAAGUGAGACAAGCUCAUUUACGCCAGGCCGGGAAAGAGGAGACGAGGCAUAGUGAGCGAGCAGAAUGGAGAAAUGCGAGACAUAAAAGGUGGGACUUGAUAAAAAGGUGGGCCACACAAAGUGGAAGAAGAAAGACGGGAAAUUGUAGAGGAUGGGAUAAAAUAUGACUUCACACCUCGGAGGGCCACACAAAGCUCGACACAAUACUUCCCAGCAGACACGGCGGCUGUCGCCAAGCCAACGAGGAGCCCGACUAAGCCCCACCUGUAAUCUUCUCUCCUGUUUCAUGUGGGCUCCAGACCCCCUGAGGCCAUCGGCCACUCACACGAAACCUGCUGAUUUAUGGCCGGGCCUCCACAAGGGCCUUUCAGGGUGAGAUGACAGGUUGAUCGGCAGCCAUUGUUGGGUUCACGGGGUCAGGGCGUGAUGGGGGGCUUUUGAGUGGCGUGUGCUGGUUAAUGACAGGUGUCGUGGGGGCCGUCUUCAGACGAAGCGGGACUUGACCAAUCAGCCUUGCUGGCUCCAAAGAGUUUGACACCUCCACUAAUUAUU